rnacentral:rRNA from 1 species
GGACGAACGCUGGCGGCGUGCCUAACACAUGCAAGUCGAACGAAGCAUAGCAAUAUGCUUAGUGGCGGACGGGUGAGUAACGCGUGAACAAUCUGCCCUGUACAAAGGAAUAGCCUCGGGAAACCGGGAUUAAAACCGUAUGACACUUUAGUAUCGCAUGAUAAGAAAGUCAAAUCGAUUAGAGGUAUGGGAUGAGUUCGCGUCUGAUUAGCUGGUUGGCGGGGUAACGGCCCACCAAGGCGACGAUCAGUAGCCGGCCUGAGAGGGUGAACGGCCACACUGGAACUGAGACACGGUCCAGACUCCUACGGGAGGCAGCAGUGGGGAAUAUUGCACAAUGGAGGGAACUCUGAUGCAGCGACGCCGCGUGAGUGAAGAAGGUCUUCGGAUCGUAAAACUCUGUCCUUGGUGAAGAAAAGGACGGUAGCCAAGGAGGAAGCCCCGGCUAACUACGUGCCAGCAGCCGCGGUAAUACGUAGGGGGCGAGCGUUGUCCGGAUUUACUGGGCGUAAAGGGUGAGUAGGCGGUUAUAUAUGUCAGGUGUAAAAGAUCAUGGCUCAACCAUGGUUGGCACUUGAAACUGUAUGACUUGAGUGCAGGAGAGGUAAGCGGAAUUCCUAGUGUAGCGGUGAAAUGCGUAGAUAUUAGGAGGAACACCAGUGGCGAAGGCGGCUUACUGGACUGUAACUGACGCUGAGACACGAAAGCGUGGGUAGCAAACAGGAUUAGAUACCCUGGUAGUCCACGCUGUAAACGAUGAGUGCUAGGUGUUGGGUAGCGAUAUUCAGUGCCGGAGUAAACACAAUAAGCACUCCGCCUGGGGAGUACGUACGCAAGUAUGAAACUCAAAGGAAUUGACGGGGACCCGCACAAGCAGCGGAGCAUGUGGUUUAAUUCGAAGCAACGCGAAGAACCUUACCAAGGCUUGACAUCCCCUUGACCAGUGCAGAGAUGUACUCUCUUCUUCGGAAGCAAGGGAGACAGGUGGUGCAUGGUUGUCGUCAGCUCGUGUCGUGAGAUGUUGGGUUAAGUCCCGCAACGAGCGCAACCCUUAUCCUUAGUUGCCAGCAUAUAAGGUGGGCACUCUAAGGAGACUGCCGGUGAUAAACCGGAGGAAGGUGGGGAUGACGUCAAGUCCUCAUGGCCCUUACGGGCUGGGCUACACACGUGCUACAAUGGUGGUGACAGUGGGCAGCGAGACCGCGAGGUCGAGCUAAUCUCCAAAAGCCAUCUCAGUUCGGAUUGCACUCUGCAACUCGAGUGCAUGAAGUUGGAAUCGCUAGUAAUCGCGGAUCAGCAUGCCGCGGUGAAUACGUUCCCGGGCCU